GACGAACGCUGGCGGCGUGCUUAACACAUGCAAGUCGAACGGAAAGGCCCUGCUUUUGUGGGGUGCUCGAGAGGCGAACGGGUGAGUAAAACGUGAGUAACCUGCCCUUGACUUUGGGAUAAAUUCAGGAAAAUGGGGCUAAUAUAGGAUAGGAGAUCCUGAUGCAUGGUGGGGGAUGGAAAGUUUCGGCGGUUGGGGAUGGACUCGCGGCUUAUCAGCUUGUUGGUGGGGUAGUGGCUUACCAAGGCUUUGACGGGUAGCCGGCCUGAGAGGGUGACCGGCCACAUUGGGACUGAGAUACGGCCCAGACUCCUACGGGACGCAGCAGUGGGGAAUAUUGCACAAUGGGCGGAAGCCUGAUGCAGCAACGCCGCGUGCGGGAUGACGUCCUUCGGGUUGUAAACCGCUUUCGCCUGUGACGAAGCGUGAGUGACGGUAAUGGGUAAAGAAGCACCGGCUAACUACGUG
rnacentral:rRNA from 1 species